CCCUUAGAUGUUCUGGGCUGCACACGCGCUACACUGAAGGGAUCAGCGUGUUCUUUUCCUGGUCCGAAAGGAUCGGGUAACCCGCUGAACCCCCUUCGUGGUAGGGAUCGGAGCUUGCAAUUAUUCUCCGUGAACCAGGAAUUCCCAGUAAGCGCAAGUCAUAAGCUUGCGUUGAUUACGUCCCUGCCCUUUGUACACACCGCCCGUCGCUACUACCGAUUGAAUGGUCCGGUGAAAUCUCCGGACUGGCGUGAGUCGGAGCAAUCUGACAAACACCGGAAAGUUGAUUAAACCUUACCAUUUAGAGGAAGGUGAAGUCGUAACA
rnacentral:rRNA from 1 species